rnacentral:lncRNA from 1 species
CUUAAACAUAGAUAGUAGAAAACGGAAAGAAAAGUUAAUGAGACAAUAUUUUCAUUCAAAGGUUAGAAAAACAAAGCUGAUUGGUUUAAGCCUGGAACACACCUGGAACCUAUUGUUUCAAAAACUGACUCACUGGUGGGCAGUCUCAUGUUUAAUAAACUUACACAGAGAAAAGAGAGCUGAAUCUGAAGGAAAAUUAGCACUGCUUUAAAGAAAACCAGACCAUGCUAAUGUAAAAAAUAAGAAACUUCUCACAGCAGAGGGUGUAUUAGUUAGCUCUUUCUGCAUAACAAAUUGCUUCAAAAUUUAGCUACUUAAAGCAACCAGCAUUUCUUAUCUCACAGUGUCUGAGGGUCGGGAACCCACGAGCGCCUUAGCUGGGUGGUUCUGGCUCAGGGUCUCUCGGGAGGCUGCAGUGAAGCUGUCAGCUGGGGCUGCUGUCCUCUGAAGACUCGAGCGGGGCUGCAGGCUCUGCUUCCAAGUUCUCUCAUAGGAUUUACCGCAGGCAGUCAUGCUCUUCACUGGCUGUUCCUCCCUGGCUGUCAGAUUCCUUGCCACCUGGGCCUCUCCAUAGGCUUGCUUACGUCUUGGCACCUUGCUUCCCCCCGGAGAAAGUAGUCUGAGAGACAGAGAGCCAGACCUCAAGAAGCAAGUCAUUGUCUUUUGUGACCUAAUCUCUGAAGAGACAUGUCCUCACCAUGUGCUAAUGGUGUACAGAUCAACCCUGUUACGAUGGGAGGGGCUUACACAAGGGUGUGAACCAGGAGAGAGGGACCAUUGGGGGCCAUCUUGGAAGCUGCUUACCACAGAAAGAGUCUCAAAAAAUGCGAUUUUUCGCUUGGCUGCUAACCUUCAUCACAGUGGAGAGUAGGGAUGAAACCUGGACCAAGUCCGCAGCGGACUCAAGCCUAUAUGGAUGUCUCUGAUGAAGAUGCUGUCCCGGAGGAGCAGUCGAAGCCAGAUGGCAGGGACAAAUGUUAGUUCCCAAGAGAGGAUUCCUUCAAGGGAGGGGGAAGCCUGGCACAAGAAACCAGAUUCUACUACAGGGCCUGAGGGGCACAGCGUCUCCAUUGUUCUGCCUGGAGUCUGCUUCAAAACGAGAACGGGUUCCGCACCUUCUUGUCACCACCCUGGACAGGCAUGACUGGAGGCAGGGACACCAGUAUCCAGGCCACCCCCAUGUUCCAGAAGCUUCACAAGCAACUCUCUCUCAAGGUGUCAGCAGUGGUUCAGAAGCUGGGUGAUUUUUUAAGUUGAGAUGUAAUUCACAUACCAUAAAAUUCUCCCUUUGAAAAUGCACAAGUUAGUGUUUUUUAGCAUAAAAUCACAAGGUUGUGCAACCAUCCCCCUCUCUAAUCUGGGAACCUUUUCAUCACCCCAAGCAGGAUUCUGUACCUAUGAAUUAGUCACUUCCCACCCCAUCU